UACGGGGGGGGUAAGCGUUGUUCGGAAUUACUGGGCGUAAAGGGCUCGUAGGCGGCCAACUAAGUCGGACGUGAAAUCCCUCAGCUUAACUGGGGAACUGCGUCCGAUACUGGAUGGCUUGGAUUUGGGAGAGGGAUGCGGAAUUCCAGGUGUAGCGGUGAAAUGCGUAGAUAUCAGAAGGAACAUCAGUGGCGAAGGCGGCUUCCUGGACCAAUACUGACGAUCAGGUGCGAAAGCGUGGGGAGCAAACAGG
rnacentral:rRNA from 1 species